AUGAACCUGACGUUGAGUCUAGGCGUCAAUGGUGGUGGCGCCGCGGCCAAGAAGCGCAAGGUGAUGGACGGCGCAGGCGACGUGGGCGUCCUCGGCGCCGGUGACGGCGGUGAUCGAUCCACUGUCAUGCGGCUCCUCCAGGCCAGAGAUCGCAUGGUCAAGGUUGAGCUUGAUCACGACGACGGGGAUGUGAGUGAUCGCGGAGCCUCGCCGCUGAUGCGCUUGCUCCUCUCGUCGGCGGUCGCCGGGGAGGUCGGCGACACGCACGCGGCGGCCGUCGCCCUGCAGGAGGUCUACCGGCAGGCGUCCUUCCGCGGAGGCGACCCCGCCCAGCGUGUCGCGGCCUACUUCGCGGACGCGCUGGCGUCGAGGCUCCUGCUGCCGCCGCCGGCGAAGGCGAAGACAACGACGACGACGACGACGACGACUCGCGAAGAGCAGUUCCUGGCGUUCACCAUGUUCUACCAGGCGUCCCCGUUCUACCAGUUCGCGCACUUCACGGCCAAUCAGGCCAUCGUGGAGGCGUUCGAGGCCGGCGGCCGGCGCCGCCUCCACGUCGUGGACUUCGACGUCUCGUUCGGCUUCCAGUGGCCGUCCCUGAUCCAGUCCCUUUCCGACGCCGCCACCACCAGCUCCUCCGAGUCCUCCCAGGACGGCAGCGGCGACUGCUGCGACGAGCCGGUGUCCCUGCGCAUCACCGGGUUCGGCGCGAGCGCCGACGAGCUGCGGGACACGGAGGCCAGGCUCGCCCGCUUCGCGGACGGUUGCCCCAACCUGCGGUUCGAGUUCGAGGGCGUCGUCAACAACGGGCCGGAGGACGGCCGCCAUGAGCGCAUCAAGAAUGACCCCGCCGCGACGGUGGUCGUCAACCUGGUGUUCCCGGCCGCACAGAACGCGAGGCCGAGCUCAUGGGAUACCCGCAGCGCAUUGGCUCACAUCCGGUCUCUGAACCCGUCCUUGGUCUUCCUGAUCGACAAGAUCGACGAAGGCAGCGGUGGCAAAGGUGCCGGAAGAUGCGGAAGCGCGAGCCUGCUCCCGCAGUUCGCGGCCAACCUCCGGUACUACGCGGCCGUGUUCGAGUCGCUGCACGAGUGCCUCCCGGCCGACAGCGCCGAGAGGAUCGCCAUUGAGAGGGACCACCUCGGCGUGGAGAUCAGUGACGCAAUGGCCUCUCUAGACCGUCGGCGCCACAACGGCGAUCUCGCGGCGGACCAGAUCAGUCGCGGUUGGAAGGAGAGGCUGGAGAGCGCGGGGUUCGAAGACGCGAGGCUGAGCUCGAGGACCGUGAGCCAGGCGAAGCUGCUGCUCAAGAUGAAGAGCGGCGGGUGCGGCGGCGGCGGGUUCCGCGUCAUCGAGGCCGGCGACGGCAAGGCCAUGGCGCUGGGGUGGCGAGACAGGGCCCUCAUCACGGCCAGCGCGUGGCGGCCGUGCCGGCGAUCGGUCGGCAAGAACGAGCCCUGA
rnacentral:rRNA from 1 species